GCGCUCGUAGCUCAGCUGGAUAGAGCACUAGCCUCCGGAGCUAGGGGUCGCGCGUUCAAAUCGCGCCGAGCGCA
rnacentral:tRNA from 1 species